rnacentral:rRNA from 1 species
GUGGGGAAUAUUGCACAAUGGGCGCAAGCCUGAUGCAGCAACGCCGCGUGAGGGAUGACGGCCUUCGGGUUGUAAACCUCUUUUAGCAGGGAAGAAGCGAAAGUGACGGUACCUGCAGAAAAAGCACCGGCUAACUACGUGCCAGCAGCCGCGGUAAUACGUAGGGUGCAAGCGUUGUCCGGAAUUAUUGGGCGUAAAGAGCUCGUAGGCGGCUUGUCGCGUCUGCCGUGAAAACCUCAGGCUCACCCUGGGGCGUGCGGUGGGUACGGGCAGGCUAGAGUGCGGUAGGGGAGAUUGGAAUUCCUGGUGUAGCGGUGGCAUGCGCAGAUAUCAGGAGGAACACCGAUGGCGAAGGCAGAUCUCUGGGCCGCUACUGACGCUGAGGAGCGAAAGCAUGGGGAGCGAACAGGAUUAGAAACCCUUGUAGUCC